AGUACUAUAGUACAUCUGUUUAGCGUCCCAUGGAGGCCAUCUGAAACCGUGCCUGAGACCAGGGCCUGUGCAUCUGACACAUUUUCGAGGCUCUGUCUCUUCUCAGGUUGUCCCGUCCCCCUACAAAGCCAAAGUUAUGGGUGAAAAUGUUUUAAAAUAUUAAAAGCUCCUCAAAGUCAUAAUUACUAUCAUGAAGGUGAAACUUGAAUAAGAGAAGUCUUUCUCUCUAGAUAACAGGAAUUAUUACAGCAAAGAGCAAGAACAGCACCUGGGAUAUGAGGACUGCUUGUAUGGCACUUCUCUGCAGAUAGUAUCACCCAACAUGGCUCCAUGUGAUUGUCUUCUGAGGGACUAAGGAUCACAGGCUCUCUGCACAACAUCAGCCUCAUGCAAGACGUGCAUUUCAAGAAGCAGCAUAGAAUUAGUUACUUCUCAGAGUUUGAAGAUAUGGUUUGAGGUGCUUCUAAACAAUGAUGUGCUAAGGAAGGCCUCUCAUCAGCACUGACUGUUACAGGAUGUUAAAAAGAAACUUUUCAGCAGAUAAACAAUUUUGCAAAUUGAAGUUGUAGUCCAGUAGUAGGGUAUUUGUCCAGCAUGUAUAAGGGUCAAAGUUUCAUUCACAGUACCAGAAAAAAAAAGUAAAACUGAACGAAGAGAGACAGGAGAACUGGCAGCUCUCAGACACACAAGAGGUUGAGGAUUUACGCUGAAAAUGCUGACUGCCAUGGUCAUGGAAGAUCGAAGCGAAGAAUAGAAAUGACCUGAUUGGUCACAGUGCCACAGUUGCCUUGUUUGAAGAUAUUCUCAGUUCCUAUCCCCUGAUUGAAUGAAGUCCAACUGCUGGUUAUA